GCGUAACACGUGGGUAACCUGCCCUUUGGUGGGGAAUAACCCCGGGAAACCGGGGCUAAUUCCGCAUAAGAUCCGCAAGGAUGAAAGCCGUAAGGCGCCGAAGGAGGGGCCCGCGCACGAUUAGCUAGUUGGUAGGGUAACGGCCUACCCAAGCUAUAAUGAUUAUCUGGGGGGUAGGAGAGGAAUGGCCAGCCACACUGGAACUGAGACACGGUCCAGACUCCUACGGGAGGCAGCAGUGGGGAAUCUUGCGCAAUGGGCGAAAGCCUGACGCAGCGACGCCGCGUGGGGGAUGAAGCUUCUCGGAGUGUAAACCCCUUUCGACUGGGACGAAUACCUCGCAAGAGGGGUGACGGUACCAGUAGAAGAAGCCCCGGCUAACUACGUGCCCGCAACCCGCGGUAAGACGUAGGGGGCCAGCGUUGUUCGGAAUUACUGGGUGUAAAGGGUUCGUAGGCGGUGUGGCAAGUCGGGAGUGAAAUUUCUGGGCUUAACUCAGAGACUGCUUCCGAAACUGCUGUGCUGGAGUGUGGGAGAGGCGCGUGGAAUUGCACGUGUAGCGGUGAAAUGC
rnacentral:rRNA from 1 species